GAUGAACGCUAGCGAUAGGCUUAACACAUGCAAGUCGAGGGGCAGCAUGGUCUUAGCUUGCUAAGACUGAUGGCGACCGGCGCACGGGUGCGUAACGCGUAUGCAACUUGCCUCACAGAGGGGGAUAACCCGUCGAAAGACGGAAUAAUACCGCGUACACUUGGGAUAGGGCAUCCUGACCCAAGGAAAUGAAAUUCGCUGUGAGAUAGGCAUGCGUCCCAUUAGCUAGUUGGUGAGGUAACGGCUCACCAAGGCGACGAUGGGUAGGGGAACUGAGAGGUUGAACCCCCACACUGGUACUGAGACACGGACCAGACUCCUACGGGAGGCAGCAGUGAGGAAUAUUGGUCAAUGGGCGAGAGCCUGAACCAGCCAAGUCGCGUGAAGGAUGACUGUCUUAUGGAUUGUAAACUUCUUUUAUACGGGAAUAACAAGAGUCACGUGUGGCUCCCUGCAUGUACCGUAUGAAUAAGCAUCGGCUAACUCCGUG
rnacentral:rRNA from 1 species